AACGAACGCUGGCGGCAGGCUUAACACAUGCAAGUCGAACGGGAUCUUCGGAUCUAGUGGCAGACGGGUGAGGAACACGUGGGAACAUCCCUUUCAGUUCGGAAUAACGUUGGGAAACUAACGCUAAUACCGGAUACGUCCUUCGGGAGAAAGAUUUAUCGCUGAAAGAUUGCCCCGCGUCUGAUUAGCUAGUUGGUGAGGUAACGGCUCACCAAGGCUACGAUCAGUAGCUGAUCCGAGAGGAUGAUCAGCCACAUUGGGACUGAGACACGGCCCAAACUCCUACGGGAGGCAGCAGUGGGGAAUAUUGGACAAUGGGCGCAAGCCUGAUCCAGCCAUGCCGCGUGAGUGAUGACGGCCUUCGGGUUGUAAAGCUCUUUUGUCCGGGAAGAUAAUGACUGUACCGGAAGAAUAAGCCCCGGCAAACUUCGUGCCAGCAGCCGCGGUAA
rnacentral:rRNA from 1 species